UGAGGAAUAUUGGUCAAUGGGCGCGAGCCUGAACCAGCCAAGUAGCGUGAAGGAUGAAGGUCCUACGGAUUGUAAACUUCUUUUAUAAGGGAAUAAAGUCAUCUACGUGUAGGUGUUUGUAUGUACCUUAUGAAUAAGCAUCGGCUAACUCCGUGCCAGCAGCCGCGGUAAUACGGAGGAUGCGAGCGUUAUCCGGAUUUAUUGGGUUUAAAGGGAGCGUAGGCGGGUCGUUAAGUCAGCUGUGAAAGUUUGGGGCUCAACCUUAAAAUUGCAGUUGAUACUGGCGUCCUUGAGUACGGUUGAGGCAGGCGGAAUUCGUGGUGUAGCGGUGAAAUGCUUAGAUAUCACGAAGAACCCCGAUUGCGAAGGCAGCCUGCUAAACCGCCACUGACGUUGAGGCUCGAAAGUGUGGGUAUCAAACAGGAUUAGAUACCCUGGUAGUCCACACGGUAAACGAUGAAUACUCGCUGUUUGCGAUAUACUGCAAGCGGCCAAGCGAAAGCGUUAAGUAUUCCACCUGGGGAGUACGCCGGCAACGGUGAAACUCAAAGGAAUUGACGGGGGCCCGCACAAGCGGAGGAACAUGUGGUUUAAUUCGAUGAUACGCGAGGAACCUUACCCGGGCUUAAAUUGCAGAUGAAUUACGGUGAAAGCCGUAAGCCGCAAGGCAUCUGUGAAGGUGCUGCAUGGUUGUCGUCAGCUCGUGCCGUGAGGUGUCGGCUUAAGUGCCAUAACGAGCGCAACCCUUGUUGUCAGUUACUAACAGGUUCCGCUGAGGACUCUGACAAGACUGCCAUCGUAAGAUGUGAGGAAGGUGGGGAUGACGUCAAAUCAGCACGGCCCUUACGUCCGGGGCUACACACGUGUUACAAUGGGGGGUACAGAGGGCCGCUACCACGCGAGUGGAUGCCAAUCCCCAAAACCUCUCUCAGUUCGGACUGGAGUCUGCAACCCGACUCCACGAAGCUGGAUUCGCUAGUAAUCGCGCAUCAGCCACGGCGCGGUGAAUACGUUCCC
rnacentral:rRNA from 1 species